rnacentral:rRNA from 1 species
GACGAACGUUGGCGGCGUGCUUAACUCAUGCAAGUCGAACGGAAAGGCCCUGCUUUUGUGGGGUGCUCGAGUGGCGAACGGGUGAGUAACACGUGAGUAACCUGCCCUUGACUUUGGGAUAACUUCAGGAAACUGGGGCUAAUACCGGAUAGGAGCUCCUGCUGCAUGGUGGGGGUUGGAAAGUUUCGGCGGUUGGGGAUGGACUCGCGGCUUAUCAGCUUGUUGGUGGGGUAGUGGCUUACCAAGGCUUUGACGGGUAGCCGGCCUGAGAGGGUGACCGGCCACAUUGGGACUGAGAUACGGCCCAGACUCCUACGGGAGGCAGCAGUGGGGAAUAUUGCACAAUGGGCGGAAGCCUGAUGCAGCAACGCCGCGUGCGGGAUGACGGCCUUCGGGUUGUAAACCGCUUUCGCCUGUGACGAAGCGUGAGUGACGGUAAUGGGUAAAGAAGCACCGGCUAACUACGUGCCAGCAGCCGCGGUGAUACGUAGGGUGCGAGCGUUGUCCGGAUUUAUUGGGCGUAAAGGGCUCGUAGGUGGUUGAUCGCGUCGGAAGUGUAAUCUUGGGGCUUAACCCUGAGCGUGCUUUCGAUACGGGUUGACUUGAGGAAGGUAGGGGAGAAUGGAAUUCCUGGCGGAGCGGUGGAAUGCGCAGAUAUCAGGAGGAACACCAGUGGCGAAGGCGGUUCUCUGGGCCUUUCCUGACGCUGAGGAGCGAAAGCGUGGGGAGCGAACAGGCUUAGAUACCCUGGUAGUCCACGCUGUAAACGGUGGGUACUAGGUGUGGGGUCCAUUCCACGGGUUCCGUGCCGUAGCUAACGCUUUAAGUACCCCGCCUGGGGAGUACGGCCGCAAGGCUAAAACUCAAAGGAAUUGACGGGGCCCCGCACAAGCGGCGGAGCAUGCGGAUUAAUUCGAUGCAACGCGUAGAACCUUACCUGGGUUUGACAUGGAUCGGGAGUGCUCAGAGAUGGGUGUGCCUCUUUUGGGGUCGGUUCACAGGUGGUGCAUGCCUGUCGUCAGCUCGUGUCGUGAGAUGUUGGGUUAAGUCCCGCAACGAGCGCAACCCUUGUUCACUGUUGCCAGCACGUUAUGGUGGGGACUCAGUGGAGACCGCCGGGGUCAACUCGGAGGAAGGUGGGGAUGACGUCAAGUCAUCAUGCCCCUUAUGUCCAGGGCUUCACGCAUGCUACAAUGGCUGGUACAGAGAGUGGCGAGCCUGUGAGGGUGAGCGAAUCUCGGAAAGCCGGUCUCAGUUCGGAUUGGGGUCUGCAACUCGACCUCGUGAAGUCGGAGUCGCUAGUAAUCGCAGAUCAGCAACGCUGCGGUGAAUACGUUCCCGGG